AAUAGAAAUGGGAUUUUUUUUUUUUUUUCUGAGGCUGACACUGAGGAAAAUUGAGACAAAGCUGAUUGUGAGAAAAGCAAGACUAGGCAUCAGCAGCAGAAAGGGAGUGGCAGAGCUGUCCAUGGCCACCCAUGCAGAUGGCAAAAAUCCAGGUGCAUAAGGAAGGACUGGGCUCUGAAAGAAAAUUAACAGAUCUAGGGUUAGCUGAAUGUAAUGGAAGAGACUAAGGGAUAUGAGAGGCAAAUAAUACCUUAGCAAGAUGCAAAUGGUAUUUUAGCAAGAUUUUGCAUGGAGAUAUAUAAAAGAAGCAAUAUCUGAAGAAUGAAACAAUACCUUUUAUCAGACAAGACCGAUACAGCUGCCAGCAGCUUCGAGAAGCCACAGCACAGAGAGGGAAAGGAGAGGUACAGUGGGAUCCCAGCCACAAAGAUCUACCUUCUCACAAAAACCAGAGAGAUACAACUAUCUUUGACAUGAUUUGCACAUGGACCUCCUGAUUCACAGUCUUAUGGUCCAGUUCAUAGAUAAUGAGAUGCCAGCUGCUAUGGACUGAGGCACAGCAUGGCCCAACAAAGAACUGUGCUGGUUAUAGUGCAGCAAGGCAGCUGUCUCUCCCUGGUGAAAGGAUGAUCCCAGAGAGCCCAGCUCUGACACGGGCAUACAGCCCAUCUUCAUUUCUCUCUCUGUCCUGACACUCUCCAUCAGACCCUGUGGGCUUUUUUUUCCCCCUGUGUCUCCGGUAGUGCUCAGUCUCCUCCCUGCCUCCUGCAGCCUCAAGCCUGUGCUGCAGCCAGCCUGCAUGCUUCAUUCCUCAGGAGCAGCUGUGACACAAGUUAAACAAGGAGCCACAGAAGGUUUCGCAAGAAAGACCAAAAAACAGAAAAGAGGAAUCAGUUCCAGAAGUGGUUAAUUUUAUGUCAAAAUGAAGUGUGAAGCCUGUUUUGGCAGCAGAACCCAGGAAAGUGAGACAUUCUCAGAAGUUACUCUGCAAAUUUAGGCUCCAUGCCAAGCUUUACCCUGUUUCUUCCAGGUGUACUCAGCCAGCAGUGCAAAGGGUGUGUUAGCUUUUUGUUUUCAUCAGAUUGAAUCUCCCACUUAAAUGCAGAAGGGCAGAUUCCUGAACUAAAGACCUGCUGAUCAGAUGACCAUGCCAUCAACCACAGCUACAGUCAUGGGAACUCAGCUUCUGACAUGGUUUAAAGGGUGGCUUGUCCACUCUAGAAGAAACAGUGGAAAGCUCCAUUGGCUUAUUCUUUUGAAAAAGAAUAAAGGCCAUCUACUACUGGAUUCCUGGAGGAGUAAUAGAGGCUUUGCUGAGAGACAAUUGACCUGAAAUUCUUCUACCCCACCAAAAAUAUGAAACCAAAACCAACCGUUCUGUUACAGUACAUUCAGUUUAUGCCUCAAACUAAGGCUCAUAUGGAGUGGCACUCCGUUCAUCCUAAAAUGAUCUCUGCCUUUUCCCAGCCUCCCUGUUCUUCUGCUCCUGCCUUUUGCUUCAGUUGGACGGGAGCCACCCAAGAGGUACAGAACAAAGCGGGGAAAAUAAUCAGAGAAAUAAAGCCCAUUUGUCAGCUUAAUUUGCUGAUAUAUUUGACAAUGUAUUUAAUUUUUUAAAGUAAAAAUGCGUUUUCUAAUGCAGUUUUCCAACAGCUGGCCUUUCUUUUGAUUUGUCCACCUAUUGAGAAGGCAGAUAUUAAAAUCAUUAACCACCUUUCUCUGGAACUAUACUGAACCCUUAAUCAAUUCAUUUUUUAGUAGCUGUUUAACAUCCCAACAGGAGUGAUUUUAUAGGCUAGCUUCCAAAUUUCUCCACUGACUACUGAAUCAACUAAUAAGAGUUUGUAUUUUCAGUCAUGUAUGUAAAGAAACUAUAAAUGAGUCCUUAUUUCACAAAUGAAAUCCCAUAAUAUACUGGGUACUUUUGUUCUGAUCCAGCAAGACUUAAAUGAAUGUCCUUCAUUUCAAGGGCACAUUGCUCAAUUCAGUAAUGCUCUCUAGAAAGGGGGGAUAAUUAAUGUACUGAAAGUUAUGUACAUUGUUAAGCUCUUUCCCACAACAGGUGCUGUGCUCAGGUGCAUUUGGACAGGAUCCAGAUACUUGGAGCUAGUAGACUGGAAGUGUAUCAGACAGUUAAAAACCCCCAUUUCCUGUGAAUCAUAGCAGAAGUUCCUCAUUGGGCUUCAAAGCCUGUGUAAUCAUUGCAGCUAUUUAAUGAUCUUAUCAACAGAAUCCAUAUUUUAAAUAUUCCUUUCUCAUUUCUGAGAUACCUAGAAUGGGAAAUUGGACUCAUUUCUUAUUUCCAGUGAUCUUUUCAGAUAAUCUUUACACAGAAUUUUGUAAGCUCUUCUAAUUAGACCUGAAGCAUUUCAAGCCAUGCAAUGUAUUGCUCUGUUGCUGGAGUAGAUGUAGAAAUUACUAUCCAGGCUUAAAUGUUAUGUGGCUAUUGCUGACUUAAACAGGAAUGAUGGUUUUAGUGGGAUCUUGAGCCAGAAAUCUAAUUUUCUAUCUGCUUUUAUAACACAGCAAAAUGAGCAGCCAUGAGGUAAACCUGUAACAGGUUAGAAAUUAGGCAUUUUAAGGGCUAUUAAACUUUUUUUAAAUGUUCCCAGAGGACAGGCAUAAACUUACCUAGUGCCUCUACUUCUGUAAUUGUGAUAUAGUAGGAGAAUUCACAAGUGUUCAGUGGUUUAUUCAGUGAGCUCCUACAGUUUGGUAGUAACCUUGGCUGAUAUAAAAACCAGGAGGGUAAUCAUAGAAUCUACAAAUCUGAAACAGAGUUUCAAAUUAGUUUUUACUUGUUACAUUUUUCAUGAACUUUAUUUUGCAGUCUUGUUUUGCUCUAAGCUUUUAUGUUUUUCAUUUUUAGUAGUAAUUCUUCAUUUAAGAAAGAACUGUUUGUUUUCAAAUUAAUUGGACAAAAAGUAGAGUUUGAAAGAGAGGCUAGACAACUUUAAUCCUGAUCUAUGGGUAAAAUAAGAGCCAUCCGAAGUAGUAUUCAUGUGCUCAACAUAUGGCAUCCACAUGAAUGUAGCCAGGUGGAGAAAUAAAUUGCUGAAGGUCGCAGUUAUUAAUGGACAGAGUUCUCAAAUACAAGACAAUGAGAGGAAAUGAGCAUGGCCAGGUUAUACAGCACAAGUUGUACACAAGAUUGAUUUUGCACACAGAAUGAAAAGAUCCAAAGGAAAGAAUGAGCCCAUGCAAAAAAUUAAGCAGAUGGGAGUUACCUGUACCAGCCCAUGAGAGAAGCAUUCUAAUCAUCACAGCUUUAAAUCAGCUUUCAGGCAGGUCCUGUAUCUAUAACUUGUGCCCUGAAUGAUGCAUAUAAUUGUUGCUGACAAUAUAAAAUUUAUUCUACAUUUAUACCGAGGUUAUUGAGAGCAGAGGCCAAUCUUUAAUAUUAAAUGGGUCCCCUGAGAGACAUUGCCUGGUAGCAGAGAGUGAGAAUUUGCAUCACAUAAGCUGCAAUGACACUGAGAUCAGAAAGCGUCCUGUCCGCUUACUGAGAGAAAAACAGGCACCAAAGUAUUCAAAUUUCAAUUUAGUGUCCAAUGCAUCUGGCCCUGGAGAAAAAGUUUGGGUCUGGGCAUCAAGGAAACUAUACUUUGCCUUUCUGACCCAGGUCUUGCCCCACCAUCACUAUUCAGUAAAAACAUCUGUAUCAACAGAGGUCUCACAUCUGACCACCUUUUACAAGGAACUGUGAUGAAAAUUAUAUCGAAGCAGUCAUAUACAAUUUCACAGAUGCUGCAAACUUCUUGGAAGGAAACCUGGAAAUGUUUCUCAGCUACAUAUCUUUAUAGAGGGUGCAAAAUGUGGAACUGACUUGGCAAACUCCUUGAGUUCAAGCAAGGAUGAAAAUAGACAAAAAAAGGAUUAGCAGCGCCCUCACGAGUAGUAGCAGCCAUUUCCUGUUCUAUUUCAGCACAGAUCUUGACUCUAAUGUACCCCUCUGCAGCAGCCCAAAGGAGACAUAAAGCCACACAGGCUGACAAGCAGGAGAUUCUCCUUGGGUAGGGAAUUCAUGCACCGUAAGUCAGAAACACCAACUCCAUAUUGUUCUCCCUCCCUGUGGAAGUCACGUAGGCAAAUGUCAGCAGCAGCCCACAACCACAGAUCUCCAGCUGCUGAAGCAGCUCCUUGGAGCCAGUGUUGACCUGGAAAACAUUAGAAUAAUCUUAAGGCUUCUUUGAAGCAUUCUAAGAGCUAAAACAGCUGCUUAAUAUUGCACACUUGCCCCUCUCAGACCUACUGUCAAGAUUUCCUUUUCCACAACUGAAUCCUUCCUCACAUAGAAAAAAAGCCAUGGGUAUAGAUUAUCUUCUCCAGAAGACAGAGACUAAAAUGCUGCUGAAUAUGUCCAAUCCUGGAUUUGAGGGGGAGCAAGAGGAAAGAUUAUCCAGGUGCUGUUACCAGCAUAUUUUCUUAUUUCAUGGUAGGUCUUUAGUAAAUGACUGAGAGUACUUCAUACAAUUUAACCAACUGCUGUCGUCAUUUAAUGUCACAUAUACACACAUCCCUUCCUUGUGCCAAUCAGACUUCAAGUGUGCCUUCCAAAGUUUGUCUCAGAGUAAAACCCAUUAUUUUUACCACACUGAUACAAAAAUCCAUCCAGCAGAGCUCUAGCAAUCAGCAGGAGGGGAACAAGAUAUUUCCUGGAAUAAAGCUCUUCAUUAAAAAGCUUUCCCUAACAGGGAAGCAUAGUAUGGUUGCUACAGCAUAUAAUUAAAAGUUAAAGGACUAAAGCUUAAAUUAAAAAGCUGUGUGACUGAGUUAUUAACUUCCUUAGCUAUUAAUUUGCAAUAUAUACCAACUCAUUGCCAUCACAGAGUUGUUGAGAGAUGUAAUCAGUGAAUAUACCUGAAGCACUAUAAAAUGUUGAAAAGCUGAAUACUCGGCUUUAUGGAGGUAACCAUUUAGUAAAUACUGAUGUAACUGAAAUAGGAUUGGUAAAUUUUGAACUAAAAGAAUAAAAUGAACCUGUGGUGGGACUUUAACAUUUUCCUCUCUCCAUAACUGUGAGAAGUUUACUUGGAGCACAAGAGUAAAACGCACCCUGUUACUCUGUUUCCGAACAAUUCUGUUAUUUGAAUUAUUCUUUUUAAUAGCCUUUAACAUAUAUCUGGGUAUCACCAGACAAAACUUAUGAGCACUUGGGCCCAGGAUUCUUCCCCUAUAGCAGAGAAAAGAAUUUUCAUCUUCUACUGAAAGCCUUCCCUAAUUUGUCAAAAGAAUUAAAGAAGGGAAAAAAGUCCUCAGAAAAAGUAUGAAAGUUACAGCAGCAAAAAAACCCCACAUUCACUAGAACUAAGUCUUUCACUUGGUAACACAUUAUAACCAUUGGAAGCAACAUAGACUUCUAUUUUCCUUUUCUAAAAGCCAAGUUUCAUUUAACGAGCCAUUUAAGCACAACUGUUAUAAAAACAGACACUAAGCUAUUAGAGGGCACCCAGAGGAGGGCCAUGAGGAUGGAGGAGGGCCUUGAGGGGAAGCCAUAUGAGGAGCAGCUGAGGUCACUUGGUCUGUUAAGCCUGGAGGAGACUGAGGGGAGAUCUUGCAGCAGACUACAAUUGCCUUAUGAGGGGAAGUGAAGGGGCAGGUACCAAUCUCCUCACUCUCAUCACCAGUGACAGGACCUGAGGGAACGGGAUGAAGCUGAGUCAAGGGAGAUUUAGACUGUACAUCAGGAAAAGGUUCUUCCCCAAGAGAGUGGUUGAGCACUGGAACAGGCUUCCCAGGAAAGUGGUCACAGCACCAAGCUUGACAGAGUUCAAGAAGCAUUUGGACAAUGCUCUCAUGCACAUGGUGUCACCUGUGGGCAGGACCAGGAGUUAUACUCAAUGAUCCUUGAGUGCCCCUUCCAACUCAACACAUUCUCUGAUUCUAUGAUAACUUAAAGUCAAUAUGAAGAAUAGAAUCUCAUCAUUAUUGAGGAGUGAAGGAACCUCUGAAGUCAUCUAGUCCAAUCCUCCUUUUCAAUCAAGGUGAGCUACAGCAGGAUGCCCAGGACCAUGUCUAGUCUGGGUUUGAAUACUUCUAGGGAUGGAGACUCCACAAUCUCUCUGAGCAACCUGUGCCAGUGGUCACAGAGAAAAAGUUAUGCUUAGAUGAAAUCUCUUGUCACUCAACCUGUACCCAUUAUCUCUUGUCCUGUCAUAAGGUACUAUUGAGAUAGUCUGGUUCUCCCUUAUUACCCCCUCAGGUAUUAAUACACAUACUGGUGAUCCCCCUAAAUCUUGUCUUCCAAGACUGAACAACCCCAGCUCUCCCAGAUUCUUCAUUUAUAAAGGAUGCCUCAACUCCUUAAUCAUCUCUGUGGUCUUUCACUGACCUUAUUCUGACCAUGUCUCUCUUGCACCAGGAAGCCCAGGAGUGCAUCCUUCUCCAGAUAUGGGCUCACCAGUGCUGAACAGAGACAGAAAAGUUUACACUAAUCAAAUCCUCAGUAAGCAUAUUUAAGCAAACACAUCAUCCUUCCAUAUUCUCUGCACCAUGACCUGAUGGCACCUGGGCACACAGAACUACCAUGACCACACACCUUCAUUGCUACAUCCACACAAGUCCCAUGAAAAUGCUGCACCAUCAGAGCAUUGGAAGGAAUGGCCAAGCAGGAGUAGAGGUUGCAAAAGGAGGAAGAACAGAGACGGCAAACUGCAGCCACAUGUAAAAUAGCUUCUUAAACACUCCUUUCCUGCUUUCCUUUUUAGCAGUCAGCAAACACAGUGGUUUGAAAAAAAUCCCCAGAAGUGGGCAAUUUUGUCUUAGGUCUGUCAAAAAAUAAUGUAAACUAGAAGCCCUAUUUUUCUUGUAAUCACAAUACAUAGCUGGAAGAAUUUAGUAAAGAGAUUCAUAUGUCUGUUACGGGGCACCAGUUUGAUAGUGCAUUUUAAUCAUUGUUGUGAAGAAAUAGUGAGAUUAAUCAUUGAUUGCUGAAGUAGGAACUCAACUGACACUACAGCCCUCUGUACCACUUGCUACACAAACACAUGUAGAUUGACCUCAAAGAACUUGCAAACUAAAUAAAGCAAGGGGAAAAAGCAUUACAUAGUUUGGAAAGAUUGUUUCCAUCCAAACAGUUCAACAAAGACUCAACGUUUCCAGACUGUCUGAACUAUCUCUGCGUUGAGACCCAAAAUACCUAUACCUCGUGAGACUCUCUUCAAGACUUAGCCAGAGCUCUGCAGCACCAAGAUGCUGCAGAAUACUAAAGGUAAAUAAAAAACUAUUAAGACUCAAGUCCUAAGCAGAAUUAUCCUCUAAUAAUCAUAUAAUUCCAAACUGACGUGUAAGAAAAUAUAUUUUCCCCCUGACAUCACAGAUUACCUUGACACCUAACUUUGCUUCUAGAAUUUUCCAGAGCUGUACUUAUCUCUAACAUUUUUCUGCUUGCCUUUUGCCAUGAUCUUAUUCAGGUCUUCCUUGCUGUUUAAAACAGAUUCUAGUAAGAGAAUAUUUUUGGAAAAAUAAAAAAAUCUGUAAGCGGGGGAAAACUAUGCAUUAGGUGUUAAUGACUACAGGAGCAGUGCAAACACCAAAGGUUACAAAGAGAAAAAAAAAAGACGAUUCCAUUUUGGAUGGAAUUCCUGAAACUGCCAAGAAAAAUCAGGAGAAAUAAACAAUGCCAGGAACUUGGAGACAAGGUAAAAAAUUGAAAUUAUUCAUAUUAAUUUAUAGAGAACAUCACCAGGUUACAACUUGCUGAAAGCACAGGAAGCAUGACAUAAAACAGACAAAUUUACAUAGAAAACAUAUAGGAAAUGCUGCAUCUUGUGGUCAUAACAUAGUUGGGUUAGCUGUGAAAAAUCCUUUUCUGUUUUGUGGCUUUGCAUGGCAUUGUGUAUGCCCUUCAGGGCAAAAAUUGAUGUAAGGACUGGAAAAUCAUUUGACCCGUGAUUGGACUCGAUGGUAUCUAAGCUGUAUCACAUGGAAGCACAUCUAGCAUGCUUGGAAAGGAGUAGGCACCUAAGGGCUUUAUAGCAUGUUUAUACAGGCUCAGACACUAAGACAAAGGUAAUCUUGUAUUUAGGAGAAUACGACUACUUGAGACCAAAUAUCCUUCACUACUCAGUAAAUAAAGAGCAGGAAACAAUGAAGUCCUAACUUGAAAGGCCUGAAGUGGGGAGAGGAAGGGAAAAAGGACUGAGCAGGUUAAAAUAAAAAUUUCAUCUUACAGAAAUACCACCAGUUUCAGAAGCAACUGGCCUGGACUAGAGAAUAUGGCCUGCAAAUAAAUCAGAAAAUCCUUGAUUUCAAAAUCUCUGUCAUUCAGGUCAUCUUAUUGCACUGACAUGUUAAAAAAAAUCUGCUACUGUCACAAUGUUGAAACAAAUAUCUGUAUCUGUAUAUCAAGCAGAUGUCAGAUAUUGUAGAGGUGCAUACACACACUUGCAACUUUAAACAAAAAUUUUUCUAAAAUUGGAGAGAAUCUGUUGUCCUAAUUGCAACAUACACGUAAAUCUUUUUUAGAGGGAAAAGUGCUGAUUUCGUCUUUUUUUUUCCCCACAAAAAGAACCUGUGUUCUGAGUACAAGUAAACUGAAAUAAAAGAAUCAGUAGCAUCUUUAGACAGAACCAGGCCUGUGUCUGGGUGCUAUUAUUUUUCUUUUUCAUCCUAAUACUUAUUUGCAAACAUAAAAAGAGUGUUGAAUAAAAUAUUGUGUUUGUAUUGCAGCUAGGAAUAAUAAUAGUAUCCUUUUCUGAGACUAGAUAAUUUCUCACUCCUGGAAAUAUGGACUAUUUUCCACAAAAAAAAGUAUUUGUGGAAAGAGCCCAUCACUGACAUUUAUUUAACCACUCCAUAAAAUCUAUGACUUAUUAUUGCUGUUAUAUUCACAGCCUCAACAAAGAUGCAGAUGUAAAUGGAGUAUGUUAAACCAAAAAUAAGCUUCCUCAAUAAAGAAUCCAUGUGCAAAGCAGUACAGAAAUUACACCUUUACUAUAACAACAUCAGACUUCUGCAAGACAUCCACACAGACCUUUAAGAGGUAGAUCAUUAAGAAGGUCCUUUAGGAAUGCAUGUCAAGAAAACACAUGCCCUGAAGACUUGUUCAAGAAGGUGCAUUCCUUUAUGUGUGUAUGACCAACAACUGCAGAGUUUGACCCUGAAACUAAUGUUCAAGCCACUUACUUCCACAGCAUCAGCUGAUAUUCACCUGCACCCCAUAUAGAUGCAAAAUUAGCAGUGACAAUACACCAUGGACUUUGCAACUAAAAGGGGCAUCACAUCUUCCCUGGUGAGAAUCAUGAGGCAAUAUGUGAUCUAACAGGAUAUCUUCCCCCUUUUUCCAUCACACAGAGUAGUUUUUCAAUUUUGUAAUCAAUUAUCGUUAUUCUGUAUGUCAUUCAAACUAUUGGUUUAGCCAAGAAGUCAAAGGGACUCCCAGCAGUAGAACAUCAUGCCCACAUCUUAUUUCCUGUGUUCUUUCAAAAGCCACUCAUCUCAGAAAAACAUCAGUUGAGCUAGAAGAGACACAAAGAAACAUAAUAAAGGUGCAACUUUUGGCGCAGCUUCCAAACAAGGAACAACGUUGAGAUUCCUCAAUUGGAAAAAACAGCAAUCAUGAAGAUAGAGAUUAAGAGGCAUUGGAAAAAUUGCAAAAGGCAUAAAUACAACAGGAAACAAUUACUCUUUUUUUUUUCCAGUACAAGAACUAGUAGGUAUCAAACAAAGUUUUCAGAAUGUACCUUCAAUAUGAAGAACACAUAGUUCAGCUGUAGAAUUUCUUAACAUGUAGAAUGCUAAAAACUCACAUCUGUAAAAAACUUCUCAGAAAAAAAUCCAUGGAGAGAUAAAUAAAUUAAUGAAUAAAUCCAUCAAAGGCUCUUAAACAUCAAGACCUCCUGCCAAACUGAGGACCUCCAACCACUAGAGGCUGGAAGAGUUUAACAGCAAGGAGGACUAAAUACUUGCCCUGUACUUCCACGGUUGGCCUAUCCUGUAUGUCUGCCCAGUGCAAGAUACUGUGCCACACGGUCCCAUCAGUCAUGAUAAUGAUCACUUAAACCUCUUUCAAAAAGAAGCCAUGAGAGGAAAGCAGACUCAAGGGUCUGCAAGGAGAGCAUUUACAAGCUUAGUUCUUACCUCAUUCUUAAAUUUAGUACAACUAAGGUACAAGCAUAAAUCCUUUCUUAAAUUGAGGUGUUUUCUGGGAUUGGAGGUCUUGUUAUUACUGUUUAUAACAAUGUUUUUGCACAGUUGUCUUCACUCGCUGUUAUCAUUUUCCCAGGUUUAAAAAAAGAAAAAUGUGCACAGUGUUGCAACUAUUCAUUAAGUGCAGACUUCCGUGACUUAAUUACUUCAAAGCUUUGUUGCCAAAGCUGAUUAUAGCUCCCCUGUACUGCAGGGAAGUUUGUCAACCAAAGAUUCUUAUCAUCUAGAAGGAACAAAAUAGCUUUAGCCAGUUUCUAAUGUUCACUAAUAAUAUAAUAUGUAUUUACUUUGCUGUGACACACAAAUUGAGCAGAUAAAAAAACCUCCCAAAGCAUUUUCUUUAAAAAAUAAAUUAUUUAUAACUGUUAGUGAGUUUCAGGUAUACUUUGAUUUUAAAAGUUCACUGAUCAUGCUCUAUUCAAAAGAUACAGAGAGAGAAAAAAUAAAGACCUAAAGGAAUUUGUGUGUUCAGCGAUGCUAAUGACUAAGACUCUGGUCAUGUUUUCUAGAUUUAAUAACACAUCCUAUAGCCUUUUGGACUAAUCAAAUGAAAGUAGGGGAUUUAUGUUCCAGUGUGCUGUAAGAAGAGGGCUUAGAAGACUCCCAAAGUAAUUUCGUUUGACAUUCAAAGCUAUUUGAUUGCAGUUUCUGAACAUUUCUACCACAUUUGUAUUCAGCAUGGGGUAAUCUGAAUUUUGUCAUGUUUUGAGUCUGACUAAUACAUGGCAUUGGUCUCUUUUUUUCCUGUUCUGCAGUGCUGAUUGCUUUCAUACCACUAAGGCAAAAACAUUGUGAGCAUAUUCAAAAUUGCUAACAUUAGAAAAAUCCCAGCAUCACCAGCGUAUUGGGGGUUAUUGAGUAGUAUUUAGGGGUCUGAAAUUGAAGGAGAAAAAAAGAAAGAAUUAUUAUAUAUUUAUGGUAAGAAACUUUCUGUCACUGCAAAUUUUACAAGGACAGUGCAAAAGUUGCUUCUAAUAUACUUUCAGAGGACAAAAUGCUGAUGCAAAAACAUUUGGGAGAUUGUAUUAUUCUAAUGAUUUUAUUUUUUACUAAUAUGAUACGGCAUGGGUGAUAUAAUGACAACUUUAACCUUCUUUACAUUCAUCUUGCUCUUUCACCUUACUUUUAAAUAAUCUUACAGGUACUGUACACAAGGUGCAUUCUGCUUUAUUAUUUGGCUGCAGAGAAAACCAGCAUCUUCAGCAAUUUCUCAUGGCUAAAGAACUGGACACUUACAGCAUGGUCACAGGGUCAGACAUCCAGCUGUUGCCUGAACUUAUGGUGCAACAAUCCAAGAGGCUGCACAAAUAUUCAAAAAUGCUGAACUCACUGAACCAUGAAGCAUGUCAGAUUUCCAACCAUUGCUCCAAUUUUGACAGGAUAGGGACAUUUUUGCUUUCUAGAAAAAGCAAUUUUUAGUUAAGUGGAUGCUCCAGUUCAUGUCAGCUAUUUUCACACUCAUGAUUUCUUUCCUGCCUUUGUUCCAAGGCUGCCCUAAAAGUUGUUACAGCAAUAAAAGCUGUUUUGUUCAAAAUCUAUACAGAUAUCUCAUGGAAAAUGCUCUCAUCUUCUCACUGCAACUGCUUGCCCUUCUUUUGAUGGCAACUGAACAAGGACCUCUGUGAGAACAGGGCAUGGAGCUGGAUUUGUCCUUGGCUGGGUAACACAGUUCUUGCAAAUGAACCCAACCAACACUGACUUUCUUUGAAAAUACAACAACAAAAACCUCAAGACUUCCUCAUUCUACUGAUAGGGAGGAAGAUAAGUGAAAGCUUAAAAAAAAAAAUAGUAUAAAUGCUGGCUACUGCCUAUUCACUUGUACAGUCUUUUUAAUGCUGCUGGUCGCUCAGUUGGAUGGGGGAGUGAAUCAUAGAAUGGAAUACCAUGUUGGAAAGAACCUCCAGGAUCAUCUGAUCCAACCUACUUGCAGAAGCACAGUGGAACUAGUAUGGCAUGCUAAACCCAGGUCUCAGCUAUCAAAGACUUCAGGAAGGUGAAGUGCCUGGUGAUAGAAGGUUCUCUAGGCUUCAGAACAAACAUGUUCAUCCAAGUCUAAUUUGUUUCUGUGCUGCCUCUCCCUCAUCUUCCAUCUAAAAUUCAGCAGCGCCUGGGUUGCUGAGCAAUGUUUCUGGCAAGAUUCCUGCAUCAGCCAGGGAAGGGAUCCUCUCUUCAGGCUGCUACACCCAGAGCCAGCCAGUGUCCUGCAGGAGCAUCAACUAGGGCUUCUUCAUGAGGGACAAAAAGGAAGCCAGGAAAAGCCUGCUCUUCACUGUUUUAUUAACCAGCCCCUCAGAAAAGAGAGGUACAGACCUCUGAGCUGGGAGUCAGUUAGAGAAAAGGUCAUAAAACCUCAAUUUUAUGCAGGCUUUUGCUUUGAGGAUUUGGGAAGGCCAGGCCAGUCUUUCUCACAUUGCAGAAGCACUAGCUCAGGAUGCUCUGUCAUGCAAGCAAGCAAACAAAAUAGCUUUUAAUAAAUGGGGUAGGUCAACACUUUUGUUACCACUCCUGUACCUGACUAUUGUCCUGAACCAAAAGCAAUUAAAACAGGGAUUAUACUUUGA